rnacentral:misc_RNA from 1 species
UUAAAUAAUUAAUUUCUCAAAAUUAAAAAACUAUAAGGCAAUAUAAAAUAAAACCCCAAUGAUAAAAUUGUAAUUUUUUAUUUUUUUUGGGGUUGAGGAAUACAAGUAAAGAUUUAUCACUUCUCUCUUCCAUGGCACGCAAAUCAACUAGGUGCCCUCUUAUAGAGCUGACAAAUAAGAAGCAACUCUACCCUUCCAUAGUUCCAUUAAUAACCUCCCUCCAAUUGUUACAUUGGUUAUAUGAAGCCACUUUCACAACUUUGCAGCCUUGUAUCCACCUGAUAAUGUACUAUAAAUUAUAUAGUUGAUUGGGAGCCUGCAACUGGUCUGGGAUUAAUGCCAGCUUGUUCGGACAGGGCAGUCUCAUUAUUGAUGAACCAGAUCAUGGCGGAGGCCAGAGAGGCCUUCCAAUAAUGACAAGAAAAUGCAAGAUGUACAGUAAAACCAGUUUAAAAAUUGCAGCUUCUCAUAACAAUUCCAUACACACACACAUACACGUAUAUUGAUGAUUAUGUUUGUUUAUGUGUCUGCAGCAGCAACCAGUCAGUGCUACUUCAAGAUCUACAUUGUGCAAAUGUGUGCUCACGAUACCAGGUUGUUUUUCAUAAAGAAAAUGCCAUGCUUAAUUAUAAAUAAAGCAUUGACUAAACCAAAAUCCUUACACCAGACUUAAUAGCAAGUAGAUCUUCCCUGACGACUUUCUUCCAGACCACAUGAGGAUUAAUCACCAUGAGCGCGUUUUCCUUUGAUUAGUGAAGAACCAACUUGGGGACUCUGCCUAGCUGUCAAGCAUGAUGCCAAUUAGCAUGAUGCCAAUUCCUGGAGUUUUGAUUUGAUUUCUUUCCUAUUUUAGCAGUUCCAGCUCACUGGAAUGAAAUCUGUUCUAUCUGAGCCCUGAGGCUUCCAAUAAUAAGAUUUCAACCAAUAAAUUGCCAUGGCAAAUGUCAAUCAGUGUAUGAGGAAUACCAAUAGCAGCUGCCUCGGCAAUUGAAAUUUCAGUUUUCUCCGGGUCUUCUCAACAACGCAGUUCACAAGCCUCAGGAUAGCCAUGCGAUAUAGCAUGGCGAGCAUUUGCUCUGAAUGUAUAGCAUCUCUUGAUAGGUCCUUUCUACAAUGAGGGUGAAAAGGAAUAUUAUUUGUGUUAUCUAAAAAUUAAUUCAUACAGAAGUGCAGAUUACAAUAACCUUCAAACAACAGAACUGACCUGUUUUAAAGAGCAAUUGCCUUCUCAUUUAUUUAUUUAGUUCUGCUUGAAUUUGGGCUUCUUGAAGAAAGAAAAUCUUCUUAAAAGUGAACCUAUAAAGAACCUAACUUUGCCAAAUUGGGAAUAAAGAAAUUAACUAUAGAAAGGAUCCUAUUGCUGAAUUUCGAUGAUUGAAGCUGUGACAUCAAUCACAACGGGUAGACAUCCUCUGCUUCGCCAUGUCGAUAUCUAAAGCAGAAAACCAAUUUCUAUUGACAGACAAAUCCAGAAAUAAGCCAUUUAUACAGAACAAUGCCGAGAAAUUUAUCGAUUUUCUAGGGAAACAAAGAGAUCAAAUAGCGAUAGAAAGACUGGGAUCUUACCCUUUUAAUGGCAGAGACUAUCUUGUCUGGAGAAUCAGAAAAUUGGGAAAUAUAGAAUACACCUAAGUCGGUAGACACUGCGUCCAUAUACCCGGACUGCGGACAGGACUAACGGUGGGAAGAUCAUACUAGCAGACCGGUCGGGUAUGAUAAUUACGAGUGCACUAAGUUGUAGCUGAUUCCCGGUAUCACCAAACAUCACAGUUCAACCAAGGCACCAACUUGUAGCUAUUCGAUGAUGAUGAUUUCAGUUGGUCGUCAGCAUCAACGACCAGAGUUUCCUCCUCGAAUCCUAAUAGUGACUCCAUUGAAGAAGCAACCACUAGCAGCUUCUUCAAGACUACAAUAACUAAAAACACGAUCCUUUUUUCAAUAUCUGUUAGGGCAGAGGAAUGCUGCUGCUUGCAAUUUACAGACUUUUCAUCGUAGACUCACUCUGAUCAGGAUUCGGAAACUUGCAGUUGCUCUAAACCCUAUUGUACCCCGCCAUUUUUCCCCUUUUGUGUUACGAACGACUGAAGGCUAUGCCGUU